rnacentral:rRNA from 1 species
AAUGAACGCUGGCGGCGCGCCUAAUACAUGCAGGUCGAGCGAGAAGACGUAGCAAUACGUUUGUAAAGCGGCGAACGGGUGAGGAAUACAUGGGUAACCUACCCUCGAGUGGGGAAUAACUAGCCGAAAGGUUAGCUAAUACCGCGUACGCUCCUUGGACUUCGGUUCAGGGAGGAAAGCGAUACCGUGGGUAUCGCGCUCUUGGUUGGGCUCAUGUCCUAUCAGCUUGUUGGUGAGGAACGGCUCACCAAGGCUUCGACGGGUAGCUGGUCUGAGAGGACGAUCAGCCACACUGGCACUGCGACACGGGCCAGACUCCUACGGGAGGCAGCAGUAAGGAAUAUUGCGCAAUGGGCGAAAGCCUGACGCAGCGACGCCGCGUGGGGGAGUG